GCCGCCGUCCUCCCAAUCCCCUCCCCACAUCGGGAACCGCCGCCGACGCCGCAGGAGGAGACGCAUCGAGGUUAGCACGCGAAGAAGCGACCAUGAGGGCCAAGGUAUUCUCCCUGCUUUCCUACUCCUCGCGCACACUAUCUCGUCGAUUAGAUCCGUGUGGCGUAGCAACUCCUUCCCACGAGUAGCUAGCUCCCAACUCGGUCCGUCCAUGUCCCGGGGCUGUGAUUACAAAGAGAGAGGCUCGAGUGGCGCGAUUCUGGGAGGAAUCGUUUCUGGGACGGUGGAUCACGCCGUGCGUGCGUGGCGCCCCUCGGCGCAGCAGCCGGGUCUGGAUCGUUUGCGUGGAACGCGAGGUGCCGCCCUGCGCGAGCCGAGCCAGAUCGUCUCGCGCGGGCUUGGUAUCUCGUGUUCCGUGGCUCGGUUCCGCACGGUCCAGCCGCUGCGGACUGUGAGGCGUCGCGUGCUUCCGGCGCCACCGCCGUCUGCUAGGGUUCUUCCCCGGCCACGGUGAAGGUUUCUUUAACGCAUACACUUGAUAUGAGCCCCGUGGACGAUGGCUUAAGUCACUGCCGAUGAAAUCUAGCCAGCAACUGAUGAAAUAUGCAAUUGUCUUCAUUCAAUAUGCUUUGCUGGUUACGGCUAGUAAUACCAGUCAGCUAGACGACGCUCACAUAUCCCUCAAGGUGUUCGUUAUCUCCCGUUUAGCUCCUCUUGGCUUGAAGCACAAAACGUUUCCAUGUUGCUAGACACUUGUGUAAACAUAAUGUUUUGUAGUUAGUUGAGACUUUUGAAUCGUGCGAGACAAGAUAUUUUCUCUUGAAUUGUCGUUAUUUUGUUGCUCUGUUAACUGACCAUUAUUCUCGUACAAGAUAGUCCUCUUCUAUUGCACAUCUGUUAGAUGUAUUCAUGUCUAUGUUUUUCUAUUAUUAUUUGAACUUAUCUGUAAGUUGUAUGACGAGACGAACUCUUGUUUUUGCACUCUGGUUCUGUUGUCAGUCAACUUAAGAUAUUCUCUUAUAAGAACGGUCCUGUUUUGCAUUUUAUUGUGUAAGUGGUUCUUUUAUUUUUCCUGUUAUCUAAAGCGAUACGUUCUCCUGUGUCAAUCAUCAGUGGAAGAAGAAGCGCAUGAGGAGGCUCAAGAGGAAGCGCAGAAAGAUGAGGCAGAGAUCCAAGUAGGCAGAUCGAGAUGGAUUGUGGACCUGAUGACAUGCGUGGGUACAUACAUUUCUUCGGAUGCGUUGGUGUGCCUGUGGAGAGAUGUCAACCUGCCAUGGUGUCACGGUCCGCCAUCAGUUGAACGUCUUGCCUGCACUUCAGUAGGCCACUUUUCAUGGUUCUAGUUGUAUUUGAAUCCAGCGUUUGCCACUAAGAUAAAUCAGACAGUCGUUUUGUGAACCUAUUAUGAUGGAGCUUUAUUUGCUGAUAAUAUCUAGCUACCUAUUUGAGCUGAGUGAUCCCUGCACUUCAUUAUGGUUGGCAACUAUGUUUCUUAACCAUAUCAAUAUCUUUGUUUUGAGAAACAUUGUCUAGUUAUACCAUUCUAAACUUUCUUA
rnacentral:lncRNA from 1 species